rnacentral:lncRNA from 10 species
AAAAAAAAAAAAUAAGCGAGAGACAUGUAAUGUUUUUGGACUUGAAAACUCAGUAACACAAAGACAUCAGUUCUCCCCAACUUGACCUACACAUUUAAUGCAAUGCUGAUCAAAAUGCUAUUGUGUGUGUGCAUGACUAUGUGUGUAAACAGGCUGACUCGAAAAUUCACACAGAUAAGUCAAAAUGUUAUUUGAAGAAGACCUUAGCUUGUGAUAGCAUCAUGCCAGUUACUAAGAAUGAUCCUUAUGGUACAGUAAUUAAGACAUCACGGUACCAGCACAGAAGCAGACAAACAGACAGGGUGGAGCAGAAUGAGAAGUCUAGAAAGAAACUCACACAGGUGAACGCAUGGAGUCUGACCAAAGUGGCACCCUGGGUCAGUGGGGAAAGACGAACUUUCAGUGAAUCGUGUUAGGACAGCUAGUUAUGUCAACCAGAAAAUGUUAAUUCCCACCUCACACCAUACAUCCACACCAACCCCAAGUAGAUUAAAAAUCUACAGAAGAAAGGUCCAGGCCAGGCGCUGUGGCUCACACCUGGAAUCCCAGCUCUCUGGGAGGCCAAGGCAGGCAGAUUGCUUGUGCCCAGGAGUUCAAGACCAACCUAGACAACAUGGCGAACCCCCGUCUCUACAAAAACUACAAAAAUUAGCCAGGCAUGGUGGCGCAAUGCCUGUGGUCCCAGCCACUUGGGUGGCUGAGGUGGGAGAAUUGCUUGAGGCCAAGAAUUUAAGGCUACAAUGAGCCAUAAUCACGCCACUGCACUCCAACCUGGGUGACAGAACGAUACCCUCUCAUUCAUUCAUUCAUAGAAAGGUAUAACUACAGAAGUUCUUAUCAUGAGGUUAGGGCGGGGAAAGAAUUUUUAAGCAAGGCACAGAAAGCACAAACCUUAAGAAAAAUAAAUAAAAGUUCACUGCACUGGAAUUAAAAACUCCUGUCCCAAAAGACACCAUUAAAGAAAGACAAGCCUCACACUGAUAGAAAAUACAGGCAAUACAUAGAACUGACAAGGAUACGCAGAUAACGCCUACAAAAUCAGCAAGAAGGACAAGGGACUUGGAAAGGCCUGGGACAGGAAAGAAACGGGUGUGGCCAAUACACAGAGGGACAGACGGGGCUCAACCCAUUCCCAGUCGGGAAAUUAAAUCCAAGAAACGCCUCUGCUGACCCGUCCACCUGGCGCCUGGGCUGCAGGGAAAAAAGCGUCAUUUUCCUCCACUAAGGACAGUUUCUGAACAGUGCCCCCGCCCUGCCCCACAGUGGAAGACUGCAGACCCAGCACCCUAUGGGCCCCCAGCCGGGGGUCCUUCCUGGGCUGGUUGGGUUUGGCCUCGAGUACAUUGCGACGCUGUGAGGAGGGCCAGUUGCGACACUGUCAGUGACUGCUUGAAAACGGAAUGAACUGUCUGUCCACCCAGGUGAUGUGAGUAGCACUACUCACAAUGGACACGAGGUGGAAGCAGCCCAGGCAUCAGAUGAAUGGAUAAACAAAAUGACAAACAAUCUGAUCUUAAAACGGACAAAUGACUCAAACACUUCUCCAGAGAAGACACACAACCAACCAAAAAGUACAUGGGAAGGUGCUCAACAUAGUAACUAGAGAAAUGCAAAUCAAACCACAAUGAGAAAUUACCUUGUACCAGGCCAGGGAGGGUGGGGAGGUAGAGAUAAGAGAAGUUGAUGAAUGGGUACAAAUACAUGAUUUGACAGAAUAAGACUUACUGUUUCAGAGAGCAGUAGGGUGACUGUACUUUACAAUAAUCAAUUGUACAUUUCCAAAUAGCUAUAAGAGAGUAAUUCAAAUGUUUCUAGCAUAAAGGCAAAUCGUGCAGAUGAUGAAGACACCCCAAGUAUACUGGUUUGAUCUCUACAACUUGUAUGAAUGUAUUAAAUUAUAACAUGUACCCCAAAAAUAUGCAUCAACUGAAAAAAAAAGGAUCACAGGCUUAAAUGGAAAAUAUAAAACUACAAAGCUUGUAGAAAAAACAUAGAAGAGGCUGGGUGCAGUGGCUCACGCCUGUAAUCCCGGCACUUUGGGGAGGCCGAGACGGGCAGAUCACCUGAGGUCAGGAGUUCGAGACUAGCCUGUCCAACAUGGUGAAACCCCAUCUCUACUAAAAAUACAAAAAUUGCCGGGCUGUGGUGGUGGGCACCUGUUUAAUUCCAACUACUCAGGAGGCUGAGGCAGGAGAAUCGCUUGAACCCGGGAGGCGGAGGUUGCAGUGAGCCAAGAGCAUGCCGCUGUUGUACUCCAGCCUGGGUGACAAGAGCCAGACUCCAUCUCAAGAAAAAAAAAAAAGAAGAAGAAAAUGGUCAGAAUCUAGGCCUAGGCAAAGAGUUCUUAAAGCUGACACCUAAAGCUUGAUCCAUAAAAGGGAAAUUUAAUCAACUGGACCUCAUCAAAAUGUUAACAGCGUUUGCUCUGUGAAAGCCUCAGUGAAGAGGACUAGAGGACAUCCUGCCGACAGGAAGAAAUACUGCAACCCAGACACCAUCCCCCAUUGUCAU